rnacentral:misc_RNA from 1 species
GGUACAUAAGCCAUUAGCGCUAUCGUAGGGAAACAAAGAAACAGGUCUACUUGGUGGCAACUCAGGAGUUGCCAUUUCCAAGCUCAAGAAACCCACCACUUCCUCCAUAGAAGGCCUACCUUUACUCUCAUUUAGUGUACAAAGCAAUCCAAUCUCCAAUACUCUUAUUGCCUGUUCCAAGUUCACCACCGAGCCCAUCCUUCUAUCCACUAUUCUCGAUUUCUCAUCUGUCUCGUGCAUUCUCCAUGCAAAAUCUACCAAGUCCUUCUCUUCUUGGCUCACUUCACUGUCCAACCUACCUCUCCCUGACACCACUUCCAGCACAAAAAUGCCGAACUCAAACACAUCAGCCUUUUGACUCACCGCUGCUUCGAAACGCCUUGACUCCGUGUGGGAAAGCACGAAACCGAAGUCGCCCAAAGCUGCCCUGAAGCUAACAUCAAGAAAGACAC